AACAAGUUCUGGAUAUCACCUGUGAGACAAGCAUACCUACUCAAACGACCAGAUUCCAAAAUUAUAUCUUCUAGAGAUCAAAAAAUAUUCAAGGGAACAAUGUUCUCCCUGGGGAAGGGGUCCCCAACCCCCAGGCCACGGACCAGUACCUGUUAGGAACUGGGCGGCACAGCAGGAGGUGAGUGGCAGGCAAGCGAGCAAAGCUUCAUCUGUAUUUACAUCUUCAUUGCUCGUACUACCACCUGAGCUCUGCCUCCUGUCAGCAUUAUGGUUUUUGGACCCUCUCCCAUCCAUGAAUGUGGUUAUUCUUUAAGGAUCUCUACUUGGUUCUCUUCCA